AAGUCGUAACAAGGUAACAAGUCCAAACAUUACAAUCCCCACGUGAAUCCUCCUGCUUCGAAGGUUGCAAUCUCUGGUAAAUAAUAGCCCGGCAAUUAGUUUUGAUUCAGAGACCUCUCAGAGGCCUGUGAGGAUAUUGGAACAGUUACAAUUUUGCGCGGUACUUCUAGAGGCCUUGUUUCCCAAGCAGUCAGUGUCUGAAAGUGUCAUUGAUUGUGCUAGGAUAACGCUUGACGAAUCUUGUAGACCGCAUCUCGCGGGAGGUAGGCCAAAGGGUCCCAUGUCCCCCUCAACCCCACAGUUUAAUGUGCAGCUCAAUGUUUUACAUUGGGUAAAAGCCAUAUCUUGGUUCUC
rnacentral:misc_RNA from 1 species